GCAUGCCGCGUGCAGGAUGAAGGCCUUCGGGUUGUAAACUGCUUUUGUACGGAACGAAACGGCUCCUUCUAAUACGAGGUGCUAAUGACGGUACCGUANGAAUAAGCACCGGCCAACUACNUGCCACCAGCCGCGGUAAUACGUANGGUGCGAGCGUUAAUCCNAAUUACUGGGCGUAAAGCGAGCGCAGGCAGUUAUAUAAUACAGAUGUGAAAUCCCCGGGCUCAGCCUGGGACCUGCAUUUGGGACUGUAUAGCUUGAGUACGGUAAAGGGGGAUGGAAUUCCGCGUGUAGCAAUGAAAUGCGUAUAUAUGCGGAGGAACACCGAUGGCGAAGGCAAUCCCCUGGACCUGUACUGAAGCUCAUGCACCAAGGCGUGCGGAGCAAACUAGAUUACAUACCCUGGUACUCCACGCCCUAAACGAUGUCNACUGGUUGUUGGGUCUUCACUGACUC
rnacentral:rRNA from 1 species